rnacentral:rRNA from 1 species
AAUAGAUACCCUGGUAGUCCAUGCCGUAAACGUUGGGCACUAGGUGUGGGACCCCCUCAACGGGUUCCGUGCCGUAGCUAACGCAUUAAGUGCCCCGCCUGGGGAGUACGGCCGCAAGGCUAAAACUCAAAGGAAUUGACGGGGGCCCGCACAAGCAGCGGAGCAUGUUGCUUAAUUCGAGGCAACGCGAAGAACCUUACCUGGGUUUGACAUGUACGGAAAAGCCACAGAGAUGUGGUGUCCUUUUGGGCCGUACACAGGUGGUGCAUGGUUGUCGUCAGCUCGUGUCGUGAGAUGUUGGGUUAAGUCCCGCAACGAGCGCAACCCUUGUCCUAUGUUGCCAGCGGGUAAUGCCGGGGACUCGUAGGAGACUGCCGGGGACAACUCGGAGGAAGGUGGGGAUGACGUCAAAUCAUCAUGCCCCUUAUGUCCAGGGCUGCAAACAUGCUACAAUGGCCAGUACAAAGGGCUGCUAUACCGCGAGGUUGAGCGAAUCCCACAAAGCUGGUCUCAGUUCGGAUUGGAGUCUGCAACUCGACU